GAUCGUUUCCACUUUACGGUAAUUGAUUCACUAUAUCGUGAAAAUUAAAAACCUUUAUAUAUUUUCACGGUUUCAAAAUAUUAGGUUGGAAUAAACGAGUGUAAAUUCUAGUUUUACUGUUUUGAUUAUGCGCCUUUAAAUUUUCGGCAUUUACAUAUUUUCGAGAUUUACUGCAUUGAAACCAAGCGUUCGAUUGCUUGACGUCACUUCGUGAUCGACAUCGAUGAAACGCUUGCUUACGCUGUAGAUGUUAUUUUCUGUGCAAAUACAAGCGUCUAUUGAUAACGAAACGAUAAUUUGUCAACAAUGAGAAUCAGAUACUUGGCUUAAUAAUUUUCAUUUAAAAUGUCUAAUUUGGAUAUAAUUCGGAAUACAAAACGAAACUUAAAAGGUAUUGAAAACAACAACGUUCAAAAGAACAAUGUGGAUUUCAAUAGAAAGACUAUUUCCACCGACAAUCAGGAUUUCCGGUAUGACCACUGUUAUUUUGACGAUUUUUCUAUCGGUUCGUCGGUAAGCGUGACCACAUGUGACAACAGCGAUGCUAGUUGGAUAUAAAAUUGGAAGACGUGUCGUUGAACUCGACACAUUGACCGAAUCGCUUUUAGCAUGCAGUGCUUGUCAAGUGCCCAUGAAUUUACUUAACACUGUAGAAAGCAGGGAUUUCGGACAGGCAUGUGUUUUGGACAUACAGUUUAGCAAUUGUGGUGCAGUAAAUAAUGUGGCUACUGGACGGAAACAUGGCAGAGUUUAUGACAUGAUCACAAAGCUUGCAUUUGGGUAAAUCAAAAACUGGGUGUUUCACCUGGGACUUUCACAUCGAAACUGGCCCUUCUGCAUGACCUUCAGCACAAAAAAAGAAAAGCUAUAGCUGUUACUCGUGCAGCAAAACAGUGACGCAUAAGACUAAAAACUCGAACGGCAUUCAAAGGAAAGUGCAAGAAGUACGAGUGGGACCAACAUACAGUUCAAACAUAGAGGACCAAGACGUUGAAGUUACAACUAUACCCCCACCUAUACCCAAGCCUGGUCAAGCAGGGCUAGACACUACUGGGAAGGAAUUUGUUUUCUUUGAUUUGGAAACAAGAGGGUUAGAGCACACUUCUCACAUAAUUCAGAUAGCUGCAGUGCAUUCAACUGGUCAAUUUUCAACAUAUGUGAUGCAUGAGAAGAAGAUUUCUUUGCAAGCGUCAGAAAUAACUGGAGUGACAGUUGUUAGCGACUCUAUGCUUGUCAAGAGACAAACAGCA